rnacentral:rRNA from 1 species
GACGAACGCUGGCGGCGUGCUUAACACAUGCAAGUCGAACGGAAAGGCCCUGCUUUUGUGGGGUGCUCGAGUGGCGAACGGGUGAGUAACACGUGAGUAACCUGCCCUUGACUUUGGGAUAACUUCAGGAAACUGGGGCUAAUACCGGAUAGGAGCUCCUGCUGCAUGGUGGGGGUUGGAAAGUUUCGGCGGUUGGGGAUGGACUCGCGGCUUAUCAGCUUGUUGGUGGGGUAGUGGCUUACCAAGGCUUUGACGGGUAGCCGGCCUGAGAGGGUGACCGGCCACAUUGGGACUGAGAUACGGCCCAGACUCCUACGGGAGGCAGCAGUGGGGAAUAUUGCACAAUGGGCGGAAGCCUGCUGCAGCAACGCCGCGUGCGGGAUGACGGCCUUCGGGUUGUAAACCGCUUCCGCCUGUGACGAAGCGUGAGUGACGGUAAUGGGUAAAGAAGCACCGGCUAACUACGUGCCAGCAGCCGCGGUGAUACGUAGGGUGCGAGCGUUGUCCGGAUUUAUUGGGCGUAAAGGGCUCGUAGGUGGUUGAUCGCGUCGGAAGUGUAAUCUUGGGGCUUAACCCUGAGCGUGCUUUCGAUACGGGUUGACUUGAGGAAGGUAGGGGAGAAUGGAAUUCCUGGUGGAGCGGUGGAGUGCGCAGAUAUCAGGAGGAACACCAGUGGCGAAGGCGGUUCUCUGGGCCUUUCCUGACGCUGAGGAGCGAAAGCGUGGGGAGCGAACA